rnacentral:ncRNA from 1 species
AAGGGUAGAGGAGCUAGAGUAAAUAGUACUUAUUAGGAGUUGCAAACUGUGAUUAAUAAGGAAAGGUGCAAUGGCCGAAGUUAGCCGACCGCAAGAAGGCUUUCUGGGGAUAUGUAGAAUAUACAUAUCACUGUCACAUAAUGUGGAGUGCUACAGA